rnacentral:misc_RNA from 1 species
UGCCUUCUCUGGAAAGGAUCCCACUAAGGUGGAUCGCAGUGGUGCAUAUAUUGUCAGGCAGGCUGCAAAGAGUGUAGUGGCUUCAGGGCUUGCCCGACGCUGCAUUGUGCAAGUUUCUUAUGCAAUUGGUGUGCCUGAACCAUUAUCUGUGUUUGUGGACACUUACAAGACAGGGAAGAUCCCGGACAAAGAUAUACUGGUUUUAAUCAAGGACAAGUUUGAUUUCAGGCCAGGAAUGAUUGCUAUCAAUCUUGAUUUGAAGAGAGGCGGCAACUUCAGGUAUCAGAAGACUGCUGCCUAUGGACAUUUUGGCCGUGAUGACCCGGAUUUCACCUGGGAGACUGUUAAGCCUCUAAAACCUACGAAGGCUUAGAGUCAAUAUCCUCAUGUUUACUGUUUUUUCCUACUGCCGUUCUUUUCUGGCUUUCCCAUCUCCCUUUGAAACAGAAGAAGUUAAUCUACAAAUGGUUGUUUGGUUCAUUCAUUUAAAGGCCAUUUUGGAUAAAUUAGGCUAAGAUUUUGAGGAAUUUUGUAGUUGAACUUGAGGUUAAUAGCGGCAAUAGAUCUAGGUUCUUUUCAUUAUUCCUUUUGCUCAUCAUUUGUCAUAAUUUACCCCUUCUCCCAUUCUUUUCUAAGGAAGUAACAUUUGCUGCAAAAUUUAUUGGCCUUGGUCCCUUCUAUUGUUUUCAUUACUAUUUUAGCUACUUUGUCUUCUGAAUUUCUGUUUCUUUUCUCAUUUCUUGUUUAGUUUUAGAAAAGCGAUGGUAAUUAUUGGUGAUGAAUAUUAACUCCUCUAAAUAAAAAGGUUGAUAUGAA